rnacentral:rRNA from 1 species
CCUUUAUGUCCUGGGCUACACACGUGCUACAUAUGGGCGGUACAACGGGAAGCGAAGCCGCGAGGUGGAGCUAAACCUAAAAAGCCGUUCGUAGUUCGGAUUGCAGGCUGCAACUCGCCUGCAUGAAGCCGGAAUUGCUAGUAAUCGCGGUAUCAGCUAUGCCGCGGUGAAUCCGUUCCCGGGCCUUGUACACACCGAUGCGAAGAACUUUACCUGCCAGCGCCGCCGCUGCAGAGCAACCCGAUGGAUCCCGAUAAGCCAGUAAGCAUG